CCCGUCUGGAACCCAAACCACUGGAGUCCUGCUCUACGCCCGAGGAGCUUGCGGGAGGAGAUCCGGCAAGAGCAAAGCCCUUCCUCCCGCCCUCCUACCCCUGAGGGGUCGCCUGCAAGCAGCUGGCACUGCAUGGUGCAGGGUGAAUCCCUGCGGAGGUCCUGGGCAUGCAGGCGCUUCCAGGUCCCCACCACACCCCAGGGACUGGGCCAUCUGGUACUGGGCGUUGUCAGCUUGCUUUCCUAGGUUGGGGACUGUUAGGGGUCGCUGGCUCAGUUGUGGCUCGCCAAUAGCUCCCAGAAAAAAUGCUCCGCAGACACGAGAUGUCACGCAAGAGACUUUAUUUAUGCGGACCACUCACAUCCACCUGGGCGAGAAGAAAGGAAAAAAAGAGAAAGAUGGCGUAUGGCUCCUCCUAGAUAUUGGAAUCUCGCGGGCUGGAAGGAACCAAUCUUGGAGGAGAAUUCUUGCAGACUGACUGAUGAACCAAUAGCAUGUUAGGACAUAACGUGAGAGGCAGGAAGUUGGCACCAGCGUAAACCGGAAAUUCCUGUAACGUAAGAGUUGAAUGAAAGAAUCCAGACAACAGAAGAAUACAUGAGUCUAAAAGCAGCACGCCAGCACAAUUAAUCUCUGUGGAAAAGACAGGAGACCAGCUACUUCAGUAAUGCCUGACCAGGGUUAUCGAGAAGGUACCGCUGGGUUGCUGAAAGGUCCAUGUCUUUGUUUUUGGUGGUGAUUUCAUGGUUGUGUUCAUCUUGCAAAAAUUCAUAAAGCUAUACCUAUAUAAUUUG